GAUGAAGAACGUAGCGAAAUGCGAUAAGUAAUGCGAAUUGCAGAAUUCCAGUGAGUCAUCGAAUCUUUGAACGCACAUUGCGCCCUUUGGUAUUCCGAAGGGCAUGCCUGUUCGAGCGUCAUUAUCACCCCUCAAGCCCUCGGCUUGGUGUUGGACGGUUUGGUGGAGGCCCCCUCGGGGGCUCCUGCCCCUCCCAAAGACAAUGACGGCGGCCUCGUUGGACCCCCGGUACACUGAGUUCUUCACGGGACACGUAUCGGACACAUGGGUUUACGGGACACGGUCUGCCUCCCCUCAGGGAGAAUCUUUCUAAGGUUGACCUCGGAUCAGGUAGGGAUACCCGCUGACCUUAAGCAUAUCCAUAAGCGGAGGA
rnacentral:misc_RNA from 1 species